UCGAGGGGUAACAGGGAGCUUGCUCCGCUGACGACCGGCGCACGGGUGCGCACCGCGUAUGGAACCUACCUUCUACAGGGGAAUAGCCCAGGGAAACUUGGAUUAAUGCCCCGUGGUACCGCAUCAUGGCAUCAUGUUGCGGUUAAAGCCUCCGGGCGGUAGAAGAUGGCCAUGCGUCCCAUUAGCUGGAUGGUAAGGUAACGGCUUACCAUGGCUACGAUGGGUAGGGGCCCUGAGAGGGGGAUCCCCCACACUGGUACUGAGACACGGACCAGACUCCUACGGGAGGCAGCAGUGAGGAAUAUUGGACAAUGGAGGAGACUCUGAUCCAGCCAUGCCGCGUGCAGGAAGAAUGCCCUAUGGGUAGUAAACUGCUUUUAUACGGGAAGAAAAAGGGCUACGUGUAGCCUGUUGACGGUACCGUAAGAAUAAGGACCGGCUAACUCCGUGCCAGCAGCCGCGGUAAUACGGAGGGUCCGAGCGUUAUCCGGAAUUAUUGGGUUUAAAGGGUCCGUAGGCGGGCGAUUAAGUCAGUGGUGAAAGUCUGCAGCUCAACUGUAGAAUUGCCUUUGAUACUGAUCGUCUUGAGUUAUGGUGAAGUUGCCGGAAUAUGUAGUGUAGCGGUGAAAUGCAUAGAUAUUACAUAGAACACCGAUUGCGAAGGCAGGUGACUAACCAUAUACUGACGCUGAUGGACGAAAGCGUGGGGAGCGAACAGGAUUAGAUACCCUGGUAGUCCACGCCGUAAACGAUGGAUACUAGCUGUCCGGGUCCUUGAGACCUGGGCGGCCAAGCGAAAGUGAUAAGUAUCCCACCUGGGGAGUACGUUCGCAAGAAUGAAACUCANAGGAAUUGACGGGGGCCCGCACAAGCGGUGGAGCAUGUGGUUAAUUCGAUGAUACGCGAGGAACCUUACCAGGGCUUA
rnacentral:rRNA from 1 species